rnacentral:rRNA from 1 species
AGUGAACGCUGGCGGUAGGCCUAACACAUGCAAGUCGAACGGCAGCACAGUAAGAGCUUGCUCUUACGGGUGGCGAGUGGCGGACGGGUGAGGAAUACAUCGGAAUCUACUUUUUCGUGGGGGAUAACGUAGGGAAACUUACGCUAAUACCGCAUACGACCUACGGGUGAAAGCAGGGGAUCUUCGGACCUUGCGCGAUUGAAUGAGCCGAUGUCGGAUUAGCUAGUUGGCGGGGUAAAGGCCCACCAAGGCGACGAUCCGUAGCUGGUCUGAGAGGAUGAUCAGCCACACUGGAACUGAGACACGGUCCAGACUCCUGCGGGAGGCAGCAGUGGGGAAUAUUGGACAAUGGGUGCAAGCCUGAUCCAGCCAUACCGCGUGGGUGAAGAAGGCCUUCGGGUUGUAAAGCCCUUUUGUUGGGAAAGAAAAGCAGCAGGUUAAUACCCCGCUGUUCUGACGGUACCCAAAGAAUAAGCACCGGCUAACUUCGUG